UUGUCUCCUAGGCGACCGACGCUGAAAGGGCCGCGGAGUCGCGUGUCAGGGCUGGAGGGAGAUCUUGAGGUCCUCCCAGUGACUGACCUGGCUCAUUCUCCGAAAGUGGUUGACAGGCCACUACGAGAGCUCUUGAGAGAAGCUUUGUGACAUGAAAUUCAUCAAAUGAAGCAAGAUUCAUUUUUAAAGAAUAAUACAAAGCUCCAGAGUAAUAUGCUUAAUCCAAAUGUUUAAAUAGAAUUUAAAACCACAUUUUAAGUAAAUUUAAAAUUAAUGAAAUAUCAAUAGUUUGCCUUAACAAGGACUUGCUUGAACCAUAUUCUCCUUUUAAAAUCACACACACAGAAUCAGUGUACAUUUAGAGAAAUUUCCCCAGCUGAAUAACAUUUUUGACAUGAAUUCAUUCAAAAGACACCAACCAUUAUGAAUAUUUUAGGCCAUGAUAAGCUGUAACCACCUCCGGCUUAUGGUGGUUAGGAUGUUGCAGCUUAAUGUUGACAUCUGG
rnacentral:lncRNA from 1 species